rnacentral:rRNA from 1 species
UACAGAGGGUGCAAGCGUUGUUCGGAAUUACUGGGCGUAAAGAGUGUGUAGGCGGUGCUCUAAGUUCGGUGUGAAAUCUCCUGGCUCAACUGGGAGGGUGCGCCGGAAACUGGAGUGCUUGAGCGUGGGAGAGGAAAGCGGAAUUCCUGGUGUAGCGGUGAAAUGCGUAGAUAUCAGGAGGAACACCUGUGGUGUAGACGGCUUUCUGGACCAUAGCUGACGCUGAGACACGAAAGCGUGGGUAGCAAACAGG